rnacentral:rRNA from 1 species
AGUGAACGCUGGCGGUAGGCCUAACACAUGCAAGUCGAACGGCAGCACAGGAGAGCUUGCUCUCUGGGUGGCGAGUGGCGGACGGGUGAGGAAUACAUCGGAAUCUACUUUUUCGUGGGGGAUAACGUAGGGAAACUUACGCUAAUACCGCAUACGACCUACGGGUGAAAGCAGGGGACCUUCGGGCCUUGCGCGAUUGAAUGAGCCGAUGUCGGAUUAGCUAGUUGGCGGGGUAAAGGCCCACCAAGGCGACGAUCCGUAGCUGGUCUGAGAGGAUGAUCAGCCACACUGGAACUGAGACACGGUCCAGACUCCUACGGGAGGCAGCAGUGGGGAAUAUUGGACAAUGGGCGCAAGCCUGAUCCAGCCAUACCGCGUGGGUGAAGAAGGCCUUCGGGUUGUAAAGCCCUUUUGUUGGGAAAGAAAUCCAGCCGGUUAAUACCUGGUUGGGAUGACGGUACCCAAAGAAUAAGCACCGGCUAACUUCGUGCCAGCCGCCGCCGUAAUAC